rnacentral:rRNA from 1 species
CGGAGGAAAAGAAACCAACUGGGAUUACCUUAGUAACGGCGAGUGAAGCGGUAAAAGCUCAAAUUUGAAAUCUGGUACUUUCAGUGCCCGAGUUGUAAUUUGUAGAAUUUGUCUUUGAUUAGGUCCUUGUCUAUGUUCCUUGGAACAGGACGUCAUAGAGGGUGAGAAUCCCGUUUGGCGAGGAUACCUUUUCUCUGUAAGACUUUUUCGAAGAGUCGAGUUGUUUGGGAAUGCAGCUCAAAGUGGGUGGUAAAUUCCAUCUAAAGCUAAAUAUUGGCGAGAGACCGAUAGCGAACAAGUACAGUGAUGGAAAGAUGAAAAGAACUUUGAAAAGAGAGUGAAAAAGUACGUGAAAUUGUUGAAAGGGAAGGGCAUUUGAUCAGACAUGGUGUUUUUUGCAUGCACUCGCCUCUCGUGGGCUUGGGCCUCUCAAAAAUUUCACUGGGCCAACAUCAAUUCUGGCAGCAGGAUAAAUCAUUAAGAAUGUAGCUACUUCGGUAGUGUUAUAGCUUUUUGGAAUACUGUUAGCCGGGAUUGAGGACUGCGCUUCGGCAAGGAUGUUGGCAUAAUGGUUAAAUGCCGCCCGU